rnacentral:rRNA from 1 species
UACGUAGGGGGCAAGCGUUGUCCGGAUUAUUGGGCGUAAAGAGCGUGUAGGCGGCCAUACAGGUCAGCUGUGAAAACUCGAGGCUCAACCUCGAGACGUCGGUUGAAACCGUAUGGCUAGAGUCCGGAAGAGGAGAGUGGAAUUCCCGGUGUAGCGGUGAAAUGCGCAGAUAUCGGGAAGAACACCCGUGGCGAAGGCGGCUCUCUGGGACGGUACUGACGCUGAGACGCGAAAGCGUGGGGAGCCGAACGAGG